AGUAGCAACAAGUGAAAGACGUUUUGAAAGAGCGAGUAAACACGGGAACAGACAGCCGCGUGAAGAUGAGAACGGCAAUCGUACCGAAGGGCGCAGAGGCCGUAAGAAAUACCAAACGAUCCAGAAUGCCAGGUAAAGACGAGGAUGGGGAGCCAAAAAAGGAGUUGUGGCUCCCACCAGUAGGAACUGCUGAGCCGGUGUCUGAGGACAGUGAUCCUUUGGUCAGGAUGCUGCUAGAUGUGGAUGCUAAACAGGAGGCUAUGCUUGAAGACCAUCUGAACCUUGCGAGCCGUGUAGGGCUUCACACCUGCUCAGACUAUUUUCUUUGUAAACCUUGCCAUGCUGAGCCUGGUAUGCAGCCUGGAGAGCGCAUCUGCCGUAUGGAGUUCGGCUCAGAAUAUCACCGUGGCAAACAGAGAAGAGAAAAUCCAGACAUUGUUACAGAUCGUAAUUGGGCUGAUCGCCUAGAGGUGGCAAGAGAUCACCCAAGAGUUGUACGGUACUCAAGGUAUAACCUGCAGUCCUGGAGAGCGAACUGCGUGAUAUUUUCUCACCGCCCGACAACCCAAGCACUGAUGACAUCAUAGCCACAUAUGUGCCUAUGCAUGCAAAGAAAAUGAGCCAACAGGAGCAACUAAAGACCGCUUCAAAAACGGUAAAUGCAGUUGAUUCUGCAGAUGAAGUGUCUGGUAGAUCUGUUUGUUCAAAGAUGGUGAUGAAGACUGUUGGUAGGAGAGAUGUUAGUGGACCAAAGGACUCAUUCGAACUCAGUGGCCUUGCUCUUUGGCGAUCCACUUGUCGCUUCUCAUAUCUGUUGUGAAGGGUUCCGGCCGUCUUGAGAGAAAUGGGGACACAGCUACAUCCAGCACAGCUUUAGACAAGUAUCUUGCUAGACCACGUGAUGAGUGUUUGCUCCUGGUACAAGUUCGCAUGCAAGAAUGGAAAAGUCCCAGUUGUUAGUGGUGGCUCCGCCCAUGCUACACGGCAACUCCAGGAGUACUUUUGCAGAACCAUGAUGCUACUUCACUGGGCAAAUUGGUUCAGCCUAGAUGAGUUGAAGUUCGCAGAUGAUACCUGGAAAUAUGCAUUUCCGAAGUUCGUUACCACAGACCCGUGCCCUAUGCUUGUGAAAGCUCUUGUAGUGAAGCCGUCACGGCAAGCUGAAGGUGCAACAGAGCAGGCAUAUUAGUCUGAUGGUGAAGGUGACUGGGUUGACGUAUACGCUGGCCCAAACCAGAUGUACGAGGGUGUUGAAGAGUUCUAGUAUGAUGAUGGAGGUGAGGUGUGACUGGAGCAGUAGUACGGUAGCAAAUCCAGAAAACGCUGAUCCCAAGGUCGGCUUGACAAACAAAUCGAAGAAGAUGAAAAAUUAGAGAAUGGAAUACUUAUGCUACCAGAUGUGUCACCUCAAACGCUGGAUGAAGAGCAGAGAUCAAUGGUGAGCCUCAUACUGCUAACUCUGAAGAGGUAUUUUGAUAAAGCAGAUGAUUACGUUCCCUUGGGGGUAGUGGGGUCAGCCACUGGAGGCACAGACAAAUACUACAUAAUCAAGUGCAUCCAAAGACAGGUAUUUGGCAAGCAUAAUGCCGUGCAGGUUGUGAUGCUGUCGAUACCGACUGGCGGGAGAUCAUGCAAUGAGCUUACAGUGCCAGCUGGUAAUGUACUGAGGAAGUUGCAGGACAAGUGUAAGAGCCUGGCUGCCCUUAUUGGAGAUGAGCGAUCCAUGGUUGGACGAACGAUGCUAGGCUGGAUGGAGCAGCACAUGAGGUAUAAACCCAAGUAAAUAAUCAAUUAUUAUGAUGAGUAUAUUAUUUCUCAAGCUUCCUGCUAACACGAAUUUACUCCUUGUUCCUUUGAGACAUUUUCAGUCAUUUUUGUUUUUAUUUCCCUUGAGUUUCAACAGGAUUCCAAUCUGUUACCUCUGUUAUCCCUUAUUUUAUCAAAACUCGACAAUAAUGACAUUGUUAUUUAUCCAACUCAUGAAUAGUUAAUCAAGCGCUUACAGCGUGUACAGAUCGCCCCCGCUGGGUUUGUAGUGCGAAAGUUUGCUGACCUACAGAAUAUUAUUAAAUAAGGUUGCCUUAUUUAAUAAGGUUGGCUUCCAAUUAAGGAACGGCAAGAAUAUCAAAUGGCCAAUGCUGUUACUAGUGAUUUAUGGCCAAAGCAUGUGUAGCUAGAACGUUAUAUUCCCAAUAGAACGCUCCCUCUAGUAGUGAGUUUAGAUUAACCACAUCCUAUGCCCCAGGCACCUUUAGAUAUCAAGGCUGUUCAACAACCUACCAUCACAGUCAGGUCCAGCAGGGACAAACAUGACUAUUUUCGCCAUUCAUGUAAAGCGCACUUUGUAGCGCAAGCAAGGACCAGACUGGUACAUCAAUAAUUUAUUCCUUUAAUCGACAUCUUUCUGCUGAUAUAUAGUAGUCAUAAGCAUAUAGUAGAUUUUUAUUAUAUAAAUUUUAUAUAUAUUAUAGUAUUUUCAUUGUAACAUAGAAGAGCCAAUUUUCCAUUAUCAUUAUCAUUACCAUUACCAUUAUCAUUUCAUUACUUUUUCAUUAUGUUAUCAUAUCAUUAUCAUAUCAUUAUCUUAUCGUUAUCUUAUCACUAUCACUAUUAUUAUUAUUAGUGUUUCUUGAGCCAUACGGGAAAAUAGGGCGUGACUUUAUAGAUCAAGUUACACUGCACAUCAAUAAUUGGAAUAGUGGCUGUGUUGAGCAACACGUAUCGCUGAAGGCUGCAUUUGUUCUUCUGACCUUGGGCCUUCAAAAGCCAGGUCCUAAGUCAAAGACAAAAGAUUAUGUGGAUGCAUUGUCUAAGCGCCUUGCCCUCUGGAAAGAGAGGGAAAUCAGUAAACUACUACGAGAAGGGAGAGUUAAUCAAGGUCGCAUCGGAGUUUUUGCAAAGUUUUUGCAAAGCUCGUUCUCGAGGUUAGAUCAAUGCAGCAUUUCGUUUUGUGAGUGAGACAUCUAGUGGUGGCGUGCUAGGCCUGACGGAUGACGUAAUGACACAACUCAAGGAAAAACAUUCAGAUCCACAACCAGCAAAAUUGAGCUCACUGGUUUUUGGGCCAAUCGACGGUGCCCUCAAGCUGCGUUGAGAACUAAGGGAUCAGGGGGUCCAUCGGGAUAUAAUGCGAACGGUUUUAGAAGAAUGCUGGCUAGCAAAUCUUUCAAACAGUCAUCUUCAAGAUUGUGUGAUGCGAUAGCAACUAUGACGAGGAUUCUGUGUACACAGUUUAUCGAUCCAAGUACCAUUUAAGCAAUAGUGGCAAGCCGGUUAAUACCCCUCGAUAAAGGCGAAUGAGCAGUCAGACCUAUAGGAGUUGGUGAGGUGAUCCGGCACAUCAUAGGAAAGUGCGUAAUGAACAUCGCCAUGAAGAAUGUUGCAGAGGCAAGCGGGUCUCUCCAGCUAUGUGCAGGACAGAAAUCCGGGAGUGAAUACGCCAUACAUGCCAUCUUUGAGAGUGACGAAACCGAUGCAGUGCUGCUAAUUGAUGCGUCUAAUGCAUUCAAUUCACUCAAUCGAGCAGCGUCACCGCACAACAUCCGGGUUCUAUGUCCAUUCGUCGCCGUCUAUGCAAUCAACACCUAUAGACUGCCGUCACGUUUGUUUAUCACUGGGGGCCAGGAGAUUGUGUCAACUGAAGGAACAACACAGGGUGACCCCCUCGCAAUGGGUCUAUAUGCCUUAAGUAUGCAACCCUUAAUUACCAGCUUUCAGGGGGCAUGUAACAUCAAGCAGUGCUGGUUUGCGGAUGAUGCCAGUGGAGCCGGCUCUGUUUCAGAAAUUAAGAGGUGGUGGGACACGAUGACCGUGCUUCGUCCGGACUUCGGUUACUACCCAAACGCAAAGAAAUGCUGGAUUAUAACAAAGCCAGACAAGGAGAGUAUCGUGAAGGAUGCGUUCAAGGAAACAGAUGAGAGAGUCACAACAAGGGCAGAAACAUCUGGGAGCUGCGAUAGGUUCACGAGAAUAUAUGGAGGACUAUGUGAGUGAUAAAGUGUCCAACUGGGUCAGUGAAGUGACAAGACUAGCCGAGUUUGCUGCGGUUCAGCCCCAAGAGUGCUAUGCUGCUUACACAUUUGGCUUAAAACAUCGUUGAACGUAUUUCCGCAGAACCCUCCCAGAUAUUCAGGGCCUGCUUAAGCCACUAGAGAAUGCAAUAUUACGUGUUCUUAUUCCCGCUUUAACGGAUCGGCAAUGUAGCCAGUUGGACAGAGAAAUACUAACGUUACCAGUACGCUUGGGAGGAUUAGGUCUGGAGAACCCGUGUGAAGAUGCACAUCGUGAAUAUACAUCAUCAGUCAAAGUAACCACGCCCCUUGUUGCACAGAUUGUGUCACAAACACAUCAGCUACCUGAGAGAAGGACGAACAAAAGAUCUUGAAAAGAAGGCGAAUAGUAUAAAGGAGGCCGCGCCUCAGAAGACUCGGCGCGCACUAGAGUUGGCCACAGAAAAAGGAUCUUCGAUGUGGCUGACAGUGCUGCCUCUUGAGAGUUGGGCUUUAAUCUCAACAAAGGGCAAUUCAAGGACGGAAUCAAGCUGCGCUAUCAUGAGGUCAUGCAGGGUUGUACGGACGGCUACAGGAGGAAAUUCAAAACUCACAUAAUAUUGCUUUCAACAAAAGAGAAAUAUUUUAACUAGUAAAAGGGUUGUUCGAGUACGAAUUUGUAGGAAUUACUUUCGGAUUGUGCAACGCGCCAGCGACUAUCAUGCGAUUGAUUGACAAUUCAUUCGGAAAUCUGAAUUUCCAGUCCUUGUUCAUUUAUCUGGACGAUAUCUUAGUCUUCAAAAGCACCUCUGAAGAAACCUUUUUCAAAACCUGAAGAUGAAACCUUAAAAGUGUCAAAAGUUGUUCAAGACAAAGGCUCAGACAGGUGACAGGUGCUCGCGUGAUAUCGAGUUAAGAAACCAAAUCCAGAGAAGAUUCGUGCAACAUUUCAUUUCUAUUCUGGUACGAAUGCCGACCAAGAAAGAAAUAUCUAGGAAUGUGACCAUGUGAGUUUAUAUUUUAAACCGGCAGCCCGCACUCACAAAAAUGUAACAAAUUUUUCAAUAACCAAGGUGACUGUAGCAACUGUUUCAAUAACAAUCUUUACACUGUAACAAACAUUGCCAUAAGAAUGAUUAUUAAAGGCUUUUCUUUCCCAUAUUUUUUUAAAUGAAGAAAGCUAUUUUUGUCCAAACCUGGCCAUCACGUUCAUAAUUAACAUUUGCAAGUCCUGUGCUUGUUUAGCUUGCUGAGCUCGACUUUGCAUCAACAUUUGCAUCAUAACACUAUAUCUCUUUUCUUGUAAUUCCAACUGUUUCUUUUUUAACUUCAUUUCCUCCAUUCGAGAUUCAUGCUUUCCCCUUUAUCAAAGCAACGCAAUGGCGAACCCGUGGAAUUUUUAGGCUAGGUCGAAGACGCCAGCCUCAUAAAAAGGGCUGAUUUCACAAAUCGAUUCCUCUAUGGAAUCGAAGGCAAAUCGAUUAAUCAAAGGCAAGCCGGUCACGAGCGAAAAUUGCCGAGAGUUAGCAACGAUUAAACGGCUUUGCAACGAAAACCUCCGAACUUUUUUCGUUUUGUUUUCGUGGCUAGGCGAAUGGCUAUUGGUAGAGUUCGGAGUUUUAAGUCGGAACACGUGCUAAAUUUCUGAUGAGCUUGCUGUCCUGUUUGCUUCGUGCUGGGGCCUGCGAAGAGGAAGGUCGAGUAAAAGAGAGUGGAAGAAGUUUCAUACAAAUAUAAGGUAAGAUAUUGCUCACGUGCUAAUUAACACAGACAAUAAAGCCUAGUUGCAUUGGACUAUUGCACCAGUAGAUCUUUUGCACGAAAUAAUCCAACGUCACUGCCGACUUAUCUCGAAGUUUUUGAAUCAGAGCAGGGAAGUGUUGUUUGCGAAGCCGAAGCGAAGGUUUUCUCUCAAGGUGUUCCCAAGUCCAUCGUUUUUUACUUUGAAUUGGUUUUAAGUGGUAUUUGAUAGCAUUCUAACUGCAUUCUCUCUCAUACAUUGGCUGGUGGAUCCAGAAUAACAAUAAUAAUAGCGUAAAAACACUAUUGAACCUAACUUGUUUUUUUAUGUGUCAGCCAUUAAUUCUUUCUGCGUACUGCUGAAGUGAAGUUGGCAUAUCACUUGUUGGCUUCAAACCUUUCAUCUAAAAGCCAAAUGCACCUAAGCCGUGCAUCAGUUAUCAAAGCAAAUCGUGCACAAACCAAUCUGAACCAUCUUGGCGAAAUAAAAAACAAGCUAUUCGACCACGAAAGCAUUAGUUAAAUUAAGCAAUACACUUACAGACAGAACAAGCCGAAGGCUGAUGUCAACCUGGUCGAACCUAAGCCAAAGAGUUGCUAAAUCAAAAACAAACCAACCUCUCAUAAAACCUUGAAACUGUGUUGCAAAGACCACAAAACAAUUCCACCUCUGAAAAAACUCUCAAAAUGCAAUGACUAUUGCAAAUCACUUCCAAAGGCAAAAAAGACGGAAAACGAUCAGUGCAUUGACAAUGACAAGUCGAGUGUCUUCAGCAUUCAUGGCAACACAGAAAAGAAAAAUACCAGAAGUCCGUAAACAUGCAAGAGAUGUCGCUUAUCUUUUUUCUCAUCAUCAGUUUCACAAUAUUUGGAUUUAUGUCUCUUUUCUGCAUAGUUCUGUAUUAGUUACAAUGCUAUUUGUAGUUGUAAGCUUAUAUUAUAUAAUAAAUUGAUAAAUGAUGUUGCACAAUUUAUUGAAGUAACUCUGCAUGUUUUUUUUUUAAAUAACUGACUUAGAUGUUGCUGCAAAAGACAACAAUAAUGCUGGUGUUGCUUCAGAGAUGUAUAGAUCUCGUUAUGUGAAAUUUAUAUUUAGUGAUGGAAAGAGCUGUGGCAACAUUAGAAAGCGUGAUCGAGAGCCAAGUAGAAUCAAUAUGAAUAAGCUUAAUCAGGUUUUCAACAAAAAGAGAAAAAGAAGACAAGCUUUCAGAACAUUCACGAAGAAUAUCCCACAGUCUUCCAAAAUUCAUUUGUUUAUAAAAAGUGCAUUCAUUCGAAAAAGUGCAUUCAUUCCUGUUUUCAACAGGAAUAAAAAUCCAAUGAAACAAACUUUUUUUAAUAACAGCAAGUCACCGAAAAUGUUCCAAAUUUAAGAGUUGCGAGCUGCUAUUGCUAUUGCAGUUAAAGCUUAACAAACAUGACAUUUGCACCAUAUAUGCAUGGAUUUACCACACAUGUAAAAGUUCAUAUUAUUGCAAGUAUUUCAUUUAGUAUUUCAUUUAGACAUAUUUAAAAGUCGAUUCUGACCGCGCGAGCAUAUGGUGGAGUCCAACCAAGUGAAAUGGAUUUCUGGACUCCCAAUUGCCUUUUCCUGGCAUGUGCUACUUUAUAGCAAACAGAUAAGUCCAAGUACCAAGCGGUACUAAACCAACAGUUUUUGGUUGGGUGAUGAUCAAGGCGAGACUGAUCAACCAGAUUGUAACACAAAAAUUUAUUCAACUUGGGCGCCUCCUAACUGCAAACUUGUUCCCGUUAUCCAGGGCAGAACACCAGGCUAUACUAAAUGUGAGGCCAAUCUUCACCAAUACCCAGACAAACAAGUCCAAGAAACAAAGGAUGACAUUUUGUCGUGGGUGCAGGUCUUCUUAGUUUACAUGUUGCCAAGCCCUACUACUCCAGCGAGGGAAUGAUCCACACCGAUAUCUCCUCAUGAUCCUUUGCACCUAUUUUCAGUUUGCCGGGAGAGCGUGGCAUUUUAUGAACAAGUUGUCGCCCUGCAUCUUGAGGACUAGUUGUCAAUCGAAGCCCAGCUCUUCAAUUUCCAUACAUAUGCCUUCCCUUCUCGUGUUUCUCCCCGGCAGGCAAGGGUGGUAUUCUGUAUCUUGUGAAACAAGGGAAAAUGUGUCCCCUGUCCCCUCCAAAUGCCGGUUCCCCAAUACAUUAUUUGUUCUUCUGGGAAACAUAUACCCACUGGGAGUAGCUUUUCACUCUCUUUAACACAAGUAUAUACAUUUUAUCUAAAAGAUCCCAGUAACCUUUGAAAAACUGAAAUCUUUGGCUAACAAAUAAUCAACAAAGACUGAUAUAGAAUCCACUGCAAAUAGAGUGGGAGAAUCCGAGAGAAGGAGGACGAAGGAUAACAAGGGUAAAAUCCUAUCAAGCAACAAAUACAGAGUAACUAAUUAUUGGCAGUCUGAUUUUUUCUCUUCUCUCUAUCGUUUGAUGUUUUAGUUUUGGCUGUUGCUUUGCUCAAGGCAGAAGCAGACGUGACAAAGAAUUUACAAAGGUCUACUUAUUUGUCUUUUAUCUGAUCCAAAAGGCACGAGUAGAUCAGAUGUGAUGUUGUCUGAAUCUUUUUUUUAUCACUAUAACUUAAUCGGUAAGAUAAUUUUUAUAUAAAAACAUUUUUUUACUCUCUUUUAUAUACGAUAGAGUUGUAUAUAAUAAGUUUGACAAGGUCAUUUUCGCGGUCAAAAGAGCUGUAUCUGCCUGGAUCGACAGAAGAGUAUGACUUUAAGAAAAAGCUCAGCAAAUUUAAGCCUUUUCCAAAUAUGUUACCUUUUAAGGCCCAAAGAGCGAGGCCACAAAUAUAAUAGUGUUUACUAGUAUACAGGUGUUCUGAUUAUUAUGUGAAAUGAGCAAUUUUCACAUGACUAUUUGUACCAGCAAGACGAAGAAAUAAAAGUAAAGGGCCGCCUGGAAUUCACUCAAAAUAAUGAUAUAAACAACUGGCAGAUCUCAAUCCAAAA